CAGUCGCCGCGGUAACACGUAGGGUGCGAGCGUUAAUCGGAAUUACUGGGCGUAAAGCGUGCGUAGGCGGUGAGUUAAGUCUGCUGUGAAAUCCCCGGGCUCAACCUGGGAAUGGCAGUGGAUACUGGCUCGCUAGAGUGUGUCAGAGGAUGGUGGAAUUCCCGGUGUAGCGGUGAAAUGCGUAGAGAUCGGGAGGAACAUCAGUGGCGAAGGCGGCCAUCUGGGACAACACUGACGCUGAGGCACGAAAGCGUGGGGAGCAAACAGGAUUAGAUACCCCUGUAGUCCCUGUCUCUUAUAA
rnacentral:rRNA from 1 species